rnacentral:rRNA from 2 species
UGGGGAAUAUUGGGCAAUGGGCGAAAGCCUUACCCAGCAAUGCCGCGUGAGUGAAGAAGGUCUUCGGAUUGUAAAGCUCUUUGAUUAGGGACGAAUAAAUGACGGUACCUAAAGAACAAGCCCCGGCUAACUACGUGCCAGCAGCCGCGGUAAUACGUAGGGGGCAAGCGUUGUCCGGAAUGACUGGGCGUAAAGGGUGUGUAGGCGGUUGACUAAGUUGGAAGUGUAAUACCCAGGGCUUAACCCGGGUGCUGCUUCCAAAACUGGCCGACUUGAGUGCAGUAGAGGAAAGUGGAAUUCCUAGUGUAGCGGUGGAAUGCGUAGAUAUUAGGAGGAACACCAGUGGCGAAGGCGGCUUUCUGGACUGUAACUGACGCUGAGGCACGAAAGCGUGGGGAGCAAACAGG